rnacentral:rRNA from 1 species
GACGAACGCUGGCGGCAUGCCUAAUACAUGCAAGUCGAGCGGACAGAAGGGAGCUUGCUCCCGGAAGUCAGCGGCGGACGGGUGAGUAACACGUGGGCAACCUGCCCCUUAGAUUGGGAUAACUUCGGGAAACCGAAGCUAAUACCGAAUAAUACAAGGAACCUCCUGGUUCUCUGUUGAAAGAUGGCCUUUGUGCUGUCACUAAGGGAUGGGCCCGCGGCGCAUUAGCUAGUUGGUAAGGUAACGGCUUACCAAGGCGACGAUGCGUAGCCGACCUGAGAGGGUGAUCGGCCACACUGGGACUGAGACACGGCCCAGACUCCUACGGGAGGCAGCAGUAGGGAAUCUUCCGCAAUGGACGAAAGUCUGACGGAGCAAUGCCGCGUGAGUGAGGAAGGCCUUCGGGUCGUAAAGCUCUGUUGUGAGGGAAGAACAAGUACCGGCGUAACUACCGGUACCGUGACGGUACCUCACCAGAAAGCCACGGCUAACUACGUGCCAGCCGCCGCAGUAA